rnacentral:rRNA from 1 species
UGGGGAAUUUUGGACAAUGGGGGAAACCCUGAUCCAGCCAUCCCGCGUGUGCGAUGAAGGCCUUCGGGUUGUAACGCACUUUUGGCAGGAAAGAAACGUCAUGGGUUAAUACCCCGUGAAACUGACGGUACCUGCAGAAUAAGCACCGGCUAACUACGUGCCAGCAGCCGCGGUAAUACGUAGGGUGCAAGCGUUAAUCGGAAUUACUGGGCGUAAAGCGUGCGCAGGCGGUUCGGAAAGAAAGAUGUGAAAUCCCAGAGCUCAACUUUGGAACUGCAUUUUUAACUACCGGGCUAGAGUGUGUCAGAGGGAGGUGGAAUUCCGCGUGUAGCAGUGAAAGGCGUAGAUAUGCGGAGGAACACCGAUGGCGAAGGCAGCCUCCUGGGAUAACACUGACGCUCAUGCACGAAAGCGUGGGGAGCAAACAGG